UUGAAACAUGACACUUAAUUUUGAAGCUCAGAUCAAUGGUCUUGGUAAAAACAGAUCGUGUAAUUGCACUCUCCCCUUGACUAGUAAAAUUGUCUGGCGUUAGGUAGAUUAAAAUAAUACAGUAAGGCAUAUCAAGACACAUUGCCACUUGUGAAGGGUUAACAUAUGUGUACUGUAUAUGAUAUUUUUGUGAUGUAAAGAUGUAUAAUGUAUCAUGAUAAUGUCAUUUUUUAUUUUGCAGAAAUUAUAUGCAUGUUUAGUAUACACAAGAGAUGGCACUGCGGCAUCAACAGGCAGAAAAACAUGCAGAACAACAAGAUGAAUUAGUUAAUUAUAAUACCAUGCAUAACAAC